rnacentral:rRNA from 1 species
GGAGGGUGCGAGCGUUAAUCGGAAUUACUGGGCGUAAAGCGCACGCAGGCGGUUUGUUAAGCUAGAUGUGAAAGCCCCGGGCUCAACCUGGGAUGGUCAUUUAGAACUGGCAGGCUAGAGUCUUGGAGAGGGGAGUGGAAUUCCAGGUGUAGCGGUGAAAUGCGUAGAUAUCUGGAGGAACAUCAGUGGCGAAGGCGACUCCCUGGCCAAAGACUGACGCUCAUGUGCGAAAGUGUGGGUAGCGAACAGGAUUAGAUACCCUGGUAGUCCACACCGUAAACGCUGUCUACUAGCUGUUUGUGACUUUAAGUCGUGAGUAGCGAAGCUAACGCGCUAAGUAGACCGCCUGGGGAGUACGGCCGCAAGGUUAAAACUCAAAUGAAUUGACGGGGGCCGCACAAGCGGUGGGGCAUGUGGUUUAAUUCGAUGCAACGCGAAGAACCUUACCUACACUUGACAUGCAGAGAACUUACCAGAGAUGGAUUGGUGCCUUCGGGAACUCUGACACAGGUGCUGCAUGGCUGUCGUCAGCUCGUGUCGUGAGAUGUUGGGUUAAGUCCCGCAACGAGCGCAACCCUUGUCCUUAGUUGCCAGCAUUCAAUUGGGCA